UACCAGCACCCCGAGUGGUCGGGACGAUUAUUGGGCCUAAAGCAUCCGUAGCCGGUUCUACAAGUCUUCCGUUAAAUCCACCUGCUUAACAGAUGGGCUGCGGAGGAUACUAUAGAGCUAGGAGGCGGGAGAGGCAAGCGGUACUUAGUGGGUAGGGGUAAAAUCCGUUGAUCCAUUGAAGACCACCAGUGGCGAAGGCGGCUUGCCAGAACGCACUCGACGGUGAGGGAUGAAAGCUGGAGGAGCAA
rnacentral:rRNA from 1 species